GCAGUCGUGGCCGAGUGGUUAAGGCGAUGGACUCGCAAUCCAUUGGGGUGUCCCCGCACAGGUUCGGAUCCUGUCGGCUGCG
rnacentral:tRNA from 1 species